rnacentral:rRNA from 1 species
ACCUACGGGGCGCAGCAGUGAGGAAUAUUGGUCAAUGGACGAGAGUCUGAACCAGCCAAGUAGCGUGAAGGAUGACUGCCCUAUGGGUUGUAAACUUCUUUUAUAAAGGAAUAAAACGAGGCACGUGUGCCUUUUUGCAUGUACUUUAUGAAUAAGGAUCGGCUAACUCCGUGCCAGCAGCCGCGGUAAUACGGAGGAUCCGAGCGUUAUCCGGAUUUAUUGGGUUUAAAGGGUGCGUAGGCGGUCAGGUAAGUUAGAGGUGAAAGCUCGAUGCUCAACAUCGAAACUGCCUCUGAUACUGUCUG